rnacentral:lncRNA from 1 species
GUCCUCUCCUCUCAACUCCAGCAGGGGGCAGCCUUUUAAUAGCAAUAAUUCCAAUGCCAGGAGAAGGAGCUUUUACAGAGGCAUACUGAGGCCUGAGAAGGAAGACAGGGCAGGCAGGGACAGAGGGAGCUCGAGUAGGGAGAUGAGGCAGAGAGAAGGUAGGACCAUGGGGUGGCAGGUAAGCUUAGAAGGAAAUCCUUUCAAGAGGAAGCCCGGAAAGGGUGCUGUGCCCAUGCUGUCUGCUCCCUGCCCCGGCUCUUUCUUCCCUGGGAAGGGACCCAAACAGUUGGCUUUGAGAGUUUGUGGUAGAGGAACUUAGCAGAACGUUUUAAAUCUCUUCUUGAGGAUUUCCCUCCUGGCAGGAUUUCAACUAUCUCUCAUGGGAUAGCGUAAUUAGGAACCGAUUUCCUUGCUUGGUCUUCAGCGGGGAAACCAAACUCGAAUCGGUUGCUCUCUCGUCUUCGUUCUUCCCAAACAGCAAGUAGGCUUUACCGGUGCUGGUGAUUCGGAGGAAGGGCCCUCAACCUUGGCAGUGUGUUGCUGUGUUGGGCCAGCUGCCGCCCCGUGUGUUCUGGCCAGUGUAGCAGCGUGCCCACCCUUCGCCCGUUAGAUGCCAGUAGCACCUUCCGGCCAUGCCCACCAAAGCCACCUGCAGAUACUGCCACGUGUCCUCUGGGGAGCACAGCCCCUCUCCCCCAUUGAGAACCACUGGCUUGGAGGAAACCUGGAGAAGACUCCCGCGGGUCUUCAGGGCUGGGCACCAUGGGGCGGCUCGGGAGCUGCUUGGCCCCGCUUUCCGCAGUUUGGGGAGCGGCCGGCGGCCAUCAGCUUCCAGGACUUGGUGGCUAGGCUUACCUGGAGACGCGACAUUUUUUUCUCCAGCUGCCCCUCUGCUUCCUCUGCCCUGACUGCCUUUUCCUUGCUUCCGCAGUUGCCCUGCUUCUCACACCGGGAGCCACUCCUCGGUUUGCUCCUUACAGCCGGGACGGAAAGGCGAAGGCCAGAAGCGGAAAGAGUCCAGGAGGGCUGCUGUUGCCACUCCCUGGAAGGGAGGGAGGAGUUGUGUGGAGUCGUGGACUUGAUGGAAACCGUGGAGGCCCUGGGGUCCAGCCUCCCCACUAGCCAGUGAGGGAAGCCCCCGUGCAGCUCCCUGAGACCUUGCCCACCUGUCCUCGCUUGGAACCGCCAGGGAUGAGCCGCCUCCUGAGAGCCGUUCCUUAGAGGGACAGGUCACUGCCACUGCCACUGCUUCUAUCGACCUCAUUUCUACUUUAUGGUAAGGGGAGCUCUUUCCUAGUU